ensembl:snRNA U7 U7 small nuclear RNA
UAGUGUUACAGCUCUUUUAGAAUGUGUCUAGCAGGUUUUUCAGGAAAACCCCU